ACCCAUGAGAGUAAAAAAAAAAGAAUUGAUUUACAAAUCAACUAUUAAAUAAACAUCUAACAAAAACUUUAUAAGCUGAAUAGGUUAGCUCCAUUUGUGUAUUAUCGGGGCUAAUAUAAUAAUGACCAUAAUUGAGGCAAACUCGCGUUGAAAUUAAAAUUUAAAGACAAAGCAGAUUUUGUUGUUCCGUAAAUCCACGUUAGUCAUAAUUAAUCAUCCCCUUCAAAUUGCCAAGGGUUAAUGAAUAUAACAGGAAAUCGGUGGUGAAGUGGCCCGUGUUUCCUCUAGAAACAGCAGCAAAGCCAAAGAGUCGACGAGUGGUUUACCAUAUCCAUCUGUCCCCAUAAAGCGUGCCGCGGCGGGUGCUCAGACUCAAAAAGCCAUCCAAUCUACUUACUAUUUUUCUGCCACGCCUACCAUCGCCGUGCAAAGGCAUAAUUAUUUUCUUUUCUUUUUUUUUUAAUAAAAGACAGUCGUCAGUACAAAACAUGUAGAGGAAUCCUGAAAAUUUGAUCACGAAAAGGAAAGGAGAUAGGUAAUGGCAAAUCUUUCUUUUUGUCAUAGUUGUUGUUGUUGUCAAUUGACAAAUCACGUAUGGUCAGUAAUAGCCCUCGACAAAGAUGCCGCCAGCUGGACAGGGGACAGCCUGCCCUCCCGCCGGUCAAACCGGGUGAUGCCGUAAUAAACAAUUAAUAAAAAAAACUAGUCAUAU
rnacentral:lncRNA from 1 species